CCUAAGGCCAUCAGAAAUAUGUGUUUUCUGAUGGUCUUUAGGCGACCCCUGUGAAAGGAUCGUUUGACCCCCGAAGGGGUCGCAACCCACAGGUUGAGAACCACUGAGCUAGAGGAAUGGGAUAGUAGUUGUAAAACCAUUGGUGGGGAAAUUUAUUAAGGUCCCUUUCUCCUUUCCUUUGCAGGUGUGAUACAGAUGACACUUGGUCUGUACCUCUCAAACGUUAUCCCUUUGACUUAUUGAAAACCAGGGAGUUUCUGGAGUAUGCAAGACUCAAAUUGCAAUUGUAUUAGGUCUUAUGGAAGGAGCCAUCCAUUCUGUCUCUCUCUCUCUUUCUCUCUAUUAUUUUUGUUUUUAUUCUUCUUCUGUUCUCCAUAAUCCAGGCAGCUGACCCCCUUUUUACAUCUCCGAGCCUGGGACCAAAAUGUGAUAUUUUACCAAAAAUUCAUGGGCUUCAAUGCAUU
rnacentral:lncRNA from 1 species